UGCUUUUCGCAACGAGAUUGCUGCAAGGGGAAAACCAAUGAUACGAGAGCUGUUAAAAGUGUGCAUAAAGUGUGGCAAUUAAAUUUUUAGUCGAAGAGGCACUGGAAAAGCGAACUGCACGCGACGAGCGAACAAAGACGAAUGAGCAGGCAGGCUAGACUGAGUCUCAAAAGAUACAUUUCUACCUAUGUGUAUACCCAUCUGAAUCUCAAUCCCGGUGAAGCUCGACCAGCACCUGCCCACCUUCGAAGGCAGACCCGCGCGCGACAGGCAAAAUUGUUGACCAGGUGAUGGGUUUUCGGACCUGGUCUACCUAAGACAUCGCUCACUUUGUCAAAUCAGUGCUGAUCGCGUUUAAAUCUGUUCAAGAAUGGCAUGACAACUAUAUAAACGGAGUGUUAACACCCUAAGUAUAAG